CCUACGGGCGGCAGCAGUGAGGAAUAUUGGUCAAUGGACGAGAGUCUGAACCAGCCAAGUAGCGUGAAGGAUGACUGCCCUAUGGGUUGUAAACUUCUUUUAUAAAGGAAUAAAACGAGGCACGUGUGCCUUUUUGCAUGUACUUUAUGAAUAAGGAUCGGCUAACUCCGUGCCAGCAGCCGCGGUAAUACGGAGGAUCCGAGCGUUAUCCGGAUUUAUUUGGUUUAAAGGGAGCGUAGAUGGGUUGUUAAGUCAGUUGUGAAAGUUUGCGGCUCAACCGUAAAAUUGCAAUUGAUACUGGCAGUCUUGAGUGCAGUAGAGGUAGGCGGAAUUCGUGGUGUAGCGGUGAAAUGCUUAGAUAUCACGAAGAACCCCGAUUGCGAAGGCAGCUUACUAAACUGUGACUGACAUUGAUGCUCGAAAGUGUGGGUAUCAAACAGGAUUAGAUACCCGGGUAGUC
rnacentral:rRNA from 1 species